rnacentral:rRNA from 1 species
GGCAGGCUUAAUACAUGCAAGUCGAACGGUAACAGCAAAAAAGCUUGCUUUUUUGGCUGACGAGUGGCGGACGGGUGAGUAAUACCUGGGAAGCUGCCUAAACGAGGGGGAGAACACCUGGAAACGGGUGCUAAUACCGCAUGAUACCGCAAGGUCAAAGGUUGGUUUACCAAUCGCGUUUAGAUGCGCCUAGGAGGGAUUAGCUAGUUGGUGGGGUAAAGGCCUACCAAGGCGACGAUCUCUAGCUGGUCUGAGAGGAUGACCAGCCACACUGGAACUGAGACACGGUCCAGACUCCUACGGGAGGCAGCAGUAGGGAAUAUUGCACAAUGGGGGAAACCCUGAUGCAGCCAUGCCGCGUGUGUGAAGAAGGCCUUCGGGUUGUAAAGCACUUUCAGAUGGGAGGAAUUUAGAUGGUCUAAUAGGCCAUUUGGUUGACGUUACCAUCAGAAGAAGCACCGGCUAACUCCGUGCCAGCAGCCGCGGUAAUACGGAGGGUGCGAGCGUUAAUCGGAAUAACUGGGCGUAAAGCGCACGUAGGCGGUCCGAUAAGUCAGAUGUGAAAGCCCUGGGCUUAACCUAGGAUGUGCAUUUGAAACUGUUGGACUAGAGUACUGUAGAGGGAGGUAGAAUUCCAGGUGUAGCGGUGAAAUGCGUAGAUAUCUGGAGGAAUACCAGUGGCGAAGGCGGCCUCCUGGACAGAGACUGACGCUGAUGCUCGAAGGUGCGGGUAUCGAACAGGAUUAGAUACCCUGGUAGUCCGCACAGUAAACGAUGGAUGCUCGCUGUUCCGUCCUUGGAUGGAGUGGCCAAGCGAAAGCAUUAAGCAUCCCACCUGGGGAGUACGCCGGCAACGGUGAAACUCAAAGGAAUUGACGGGGGCCCGCACAAGCGGAGGAACAUGUGGUUUAAUUCGAUGAUACGCGAGGAACCUUACCCGGGCUUGAACUGCAGGUGAACGAUUCAGAGAUGAUGAGGUCCUUCGGGACACCUGUGGAGGUGCUGCAUGGUUGUCGUCAGCUCGUGCCGUGAGGUGUCGGCUUAAGUGCCAUAACGAGCGCAACCCCUGUCUUCAGUUGCCAUCAGGUGAUGCUGGGCACUCUGGAGAUACUGCCACCGCAAGGUGUGAGGAAGGUGGGGAUGACGUCAAAUCAGCACGGCCCUUACGUCCGGGGCUACACACGUGUUACAAUGGCGUGUACAGAGAGUCGGUUGCGGGCAAUCGCAAUCUAAUCCUUAAAACACGUCUCAGUUCGGAUUGGGGUCUGCAACCCGACCCCAUGAAGCUGGAUUCGCUAGUAAUCGCGCAUCAGCCAUGGCGCGGUGAUACGUUCCCGGGCAUUGUACACACCGCCCGUCANGGCUGACUCCGCCGCAACUUCGCACAAACUCGGNGGCCNCC